AGGCUCCUUCUUACUUAUUUCCGGGCCUGCAGGCUGGGUGUGAAGGAAUGCAAGAUGAACCAAAUGCAGCCACACUGAAUGCACUGCAAGUUUGCAUGCAGAACCUUCAUCUGGCGAUGGAUGGAGAUAGAGACAGAGACCUACACUGGAG